AAAGUCGUAACAAGGUUUCCGUAGGUGAACCUGCGGAAGGAUCAUUACUGAAUUUAAUGGAGGCAGUUGCUGACUCUUUCACGAGAGUAUUGUGCACGCCUUCAAAUUCAUCUCUUACCACUGUGAACUGUAGUAGACUAUGAUAUCUCUCAAUGGCUUGCCAUUGGAUUGAAGGACCUGCGUUACAGCUGUCUUUCGAUUUCAUAGUCUCCCCCUUAUCCUAUAAACUUAAAAGUCUUAGAAUGUCUUUUGUGGGUGUGAAAACCUAUAAACUUAUACAACUUUCAACAACGGAUCUCUUGGCUCUC
rnacentral:misc_RNA from 1 species